CGCGUAGGCGGUCUAUUAAGCGGAGGGUGAAAUUUCGAGGCUCAACUUCGAAACUGCUUUCCGAACUGGUAGACUCGAGUACGGGAGAGGGAAGUGGAAUUCCUGGUGUAGCGGUGGAAUGCGUAAAUAUCAGGAGGAACACCGGUGGCGAAGGCUGCUUCCUGGAACGUAACUGACGCUGAGGCGCGAAAGCUAGGGGAGCGAACG
rnacentral:rRNA from 1 species